rnacentral:rRNA from 1 species
GUUAUAUGGUCAAGCGAAUAAGCGCACACGGUGGAUGCCUUGGCGGUCAGAGGCGAUGAAGGACGUGGCAGCCUGCGAAAAGUAUCGGGGAGCUGGCAACAAGCUUUGAUCCGGUAAUGUCCGAAUGGGGAAACCCACCCGCUUGCGGGUAUCCUGCAGUGAAUACAUAGCUGCCGGAAGCGAACCUGGUGAACUGAAAUAUCUAAGUAACCAGAGGAAAAGAAAUCAACCGAGAUUCCGUAAGUAGCGACGAGCGAACGCGGACUAGCCCUUAAGCUGGAUUGGUUCUAGGAAAACGCUCUGGAAAGAGCGGCCAUAGAAGGUGAUAGCCCUGUAUCUGAAAGGGCCAUUCCAGUGAAGACGAGUAGGGCGGGGCACGUGAAACCCUGUCUGAACAUGGGGGGACCAUCCUCCAAGGCUAAAUACUACUGACCGACCGAUAGUGAACCAGUACCGUGAGGGAAAGGCGAAAAGAACCCCGGAGAGGGGAGUGAAAUAGAACCUGAAACCGUGUGCGUACAAGCAGUAGGAGCUCCGCAAGGAGUGACUGCGUACCUUUUGUAUAAUGGGUCAGCGACUUACUGUUCGUGGCAAGCUUAACCGUAUAGGGGAGGCGAAGGGAAACCGAGUCUGAUAAGGGCGCAUAGUCGCGGGCAGUAGACCCGAAACCGGGUGAUCUAGUCAUGCCCAGGGUGAAGGUGCGGUAACACGCACUGGAGGCCCGAACCCACUCCCGUUGCAAAGGUAGGGGAUGAGGUGUGAUUAGGAGUGAAAAGCUAAUCGAACCCGGAGAUAGCUGGUUCUCCUCGAAAGCUAUUUAGGUAGCGCCUCAUAUGUAUCCUCUCGGGGGUAGAGCACUGUUAUGGCUAGGGGGUCAUCGCGACUUACCAAACCAUUGCAAACUCCGAAUACCGAGACGGACUGUAUGGGAGACACACGGCGGGUGCUAACGUCCGUCGUGAAAAGGGAAACAACCCAGACCCACAGCUAAGGUCCCAAAUUUUGUGCUAAGUGGAAAACCAUGUGGAAAGGCACAGACAGCCAGGAGGUUGGCUUAGAAGCAGCCACCCUUUAAAGAAAGCGUAAUAGCUCACUGGUCGAGUCGGUCUGCGGGGAAGAUUUAACGGGGCUAAGCACAGAACCGAAGCUUGGGGUGCAUAACUUUGUUAUGCGCGGUAGAGGAGCGUUCCGUAAGCCGUUGAAGGUGGAUUGAGAAGUCUGCUGGAGGUAUCGGAAGUGCGAAUGCUGACAUGAGUAACGAUAAUGCGGGUGAAAAACCCGCACGCCGAAAGCCCAAGGUUUCCUUGCGCAACGUUAAUCGGCGCAGGGUGAGUCGGCCCCUAAGGCGAGGACGAAAGUCGUAGUCGAUGGGAAGCAGGUUAAUAUUCCUGCACCUCGCGUAAGUGCGAUGGAGGGACGGAGAAGGUUAGGUGUACCAGGCGUUGGUUGUCCUGGGGAAAGGCGGUAGGUUUGGAUCUUUGGCAAAUCCGGGAUCCUCUAAGACCGAGCACCGAGACGAGCCUUUAUGGCGAAGUCACUGAUACCACGCUUCCAGGAAAAGCUCCUAAGCUUCAGCUUACGCAGACCGUACCGUAAACCGACACAGGUGGGUAGGAUGAGAAUUCUCAGGCGCUUGAGAGAACUCGGGUGAAGGAACUAGGCAACAUGGCACCGUAACUUCGGGAGAAGGUGCACCCUUUUUGGUGGCUCGUGCGAGCUAUAGCUGAAGAGGGUCGCAGUAACCAGGCCGCUGCGACUGUUUAUCAAAAACACAGCACUCUGCAAACACGAAAGUGGACGUAUAGGGUGUGACGCCUGCCCGGUGCUGGAAGGUUAAUUGAUGGGGUCAGCCGCAAGGCGAAGCUCUUGAUCGAAGCCCCAGUAAACGGCGGCCGUAACUAUAACGGUCCUAAGGUAGCGAAAUUCCUUGUCGGGUAAGUUCCGACCUGCACGAAUGGCGUAACGACAGCGGCGCUGUCUCCACCCGAGACUCAGUGAAAUUGAAAUCGCUGUGAAGAUGCAGCGUUCCCGUGGCAAGACGGAAAGACCCCGUGAACCUUUACUAUAGCUUUACACUGAACGUUGAGUUCGUCUGUGUAGGAUAGGUGGGAGGCUAUGAAACUGUGGCGCCAGCUGCAGUGGAGCCAUCCUUGAAAUACCACCCUGUCGUGCUUGACGUUCUAACCUGGGCCCAUUAUCUGGGUCGGGGACCGUGUAUGGUGGGUAGUUUGACUGGGGCGGUCUCCUCCUAAAGAGUAACGGAGGAGCUCGAAGGUACGCUCAGCGCGGUCGGACAUCGCGCACUGUGUGCAAAGGCAUAAGCGUGCUUGACUGCAAGAUCGACGGAUCAAGCAGGUAGGAAACUAGGACUUAGUGAUCCGGUGGUUCUGUAUGGAAGGGCCAUCGCUCAACGGAUAAAAGGUACUCCGGGGAUAACAGGCUGAUACCGCCCAAGAGUUCAUAUCGACGGCGGUGUUUGGCACCUCGAUGUCGGCUCAUCACAUCCUGGGGCUGUAGUCGGUCCCAAGGGUAUGGCUGUUCGCCAUUUAAAGUGGUACGCGAGCUGGGUUCAGAACGUCGUGAGACAGUUCGGUCCCUAUCUGCCAUGGGCGUUGGAGAUUUGAGAGGGGCUGCUCCUAGUACGAGAGGACCGGAGUGGACGAACCUCUGGUGUUCCGGUUGUCACGCCAGUGGCAUUGCCGGGUAGCUAUGUUCGGAAGCGAUAACCGCUGAAAGCAUCUAAGCGGGAAGCGCGCCUCAAGAUGAGAUCUCCCGGGGCACAAGCCCCCUGAAGGAACCAUGUAGACUACGUGGUUGAUAGGUCAGGUGUGUAAGUACAGCAAUGUAUUGAGCUAACUGAUACUAAUGAUCCGUGCGGCUUGACCAUAUAACCU